UUAAAUGGCCGCAGUAUUUUGACUGUGCUAAGGUAGCAUAAUCAUUAGUUUUUUAAUUGAAAGCUGGAAUGAAGGGUUGGAUGAAAAAUUGACUGUCUCUUUAUAAUUUAAUUAGAAUUUUAUUUUUAAGUUAAAAAGCUUAAAUUUUUAUAAAAGACGAGAAGACCCUAUAGAGUUUAAUAGAUUUUAGAUAAUUAAUUUUUUAGUAAUUUAUGAAUUAAUUUUUAAUUAUAUUUAAUUGGGGUGAUUAAAAAAUUAAAAUAACUUUUUUUAUAUAUCUAUAUUUAUAAAUAAAUAAUUGAUCCAAUAUUUUUGAUUAUAAGAUAAAAUUACCUUAGGGAUAACAGCGUAAUUUUAUUAGAGAGUU
rnacentral:rRNA from 1 species